CCGAGUUAUCAAACUCACAACCCAUUGUGAACUAUCUCUUUGUUGCUUCGGCGUCAAGCUACCGGGCCUCGCGCCCGGCGGCCGGAGGACAACCUAAACUCUUGUUAUCCUAGUGACUACUCUGAGGUAUAUCUUAAUAAGUCA
rnacentral:misc_RNA from 1 species